rnacentral:other from 1 species
GUCUUGCUGCGGCUCGCGUCGAAGGCUUCACAUCCCGGGGACCUUAAUUCUCUCUAUAGGGAGCUGUCCCUGUCCGGGAUCGUGGUCCUGGACACACGGCGCCCACCUGGUCUGACCAGGUCCGAGUGGAUUGAAACCGCCUUCACGGUUCUUCGCGGCGCCGCC